rnacentral:rRNA from 1 species
CGCUAUCACUCCUACGGGAGGCAGCAGUGGGGGAAUCUUGGACAAUGGGGGCAACCCUGAUCCAGCCAUGCCGCGUGAGUGAUGAAGGCCUUAGGGUCGUAAAGCUCUUUCGCCUGUGAUGAUAAUGACAGUAGCAGGUAAAGAAACCCCGGCUAACUCCGUGCCAGCAGCCGCGGUAAUACGGAGGGGGUUAGCGUUGUUCGGAAUUACUGGGCGUAAAGCGCGCGUAGGCGGAUUAGUCAGUUAGAGGUGAAAUCCCAGGGCUCAACCCCGGAACUGCCUCCAAAACUCCCAGUCUUGAGUUCGAGAGAGGUGAGUGGAAUUCCGAGUGUAGAGGUGAAAUUCGUAGAUAUUCGGAGGAACACCAGUGGCGAAGGCGGCUCACUGGCUCGAUACUGACGCUGAGGUGCGAAAGUGUGGGGAGCAAACAGGAUUAGAUACCCUGGUAG